rnacentral:rRNA from 1 species
CCGAGUUGUAAUUUGAAGAUAGUUUUCUGGUUCAAGCUCCUGUCUAUGUUCCUUGGAACAGGACGUCAUAGAGGGUGAGAAUCCCGUCUGGCGGGGAGCUUUGUUCCAUGUAGAUUUCUAUCGACGAGUCGAGUUGUUUGGGAAUGCAGCUCUAAGUGGGUGGUAAAUUCCAUCUAAAGCUAAAUAUUGGCGAGAGACCGAUAGCGAACAAGUACAGUGAUGGAAAGAUGAAAAGAACUUUGAAAAGAGAGUGAAAAAGUACGUGAAAUUGUUGAAAGGGAAGGAUAUUGGAUCAGACUUGGUGUUGCAUGAUUAUCUUCCCCUCGUGGGUUGUGCACUCGUGCUUCACUGGGCCAGCAUCGGCUCGGACGGUAAGAUAAUGACAUUGGAAUGUGGCUCUGGCUUCGGUCAGAGUGUUAUAGCCCUUGUUGAUGU